CAUACUCAGUGUCUGCCUGCAGCUGCAACAGGAUAGUAGUUGGACCCCCCUCCCCUUACCCCGGCUUGUGUGUAUAGAAAGAGGAGGGACAGGUCAGCCUCCAGCUGCACAGCGCUGCACAUUUGCCGCCCAAUAGGAGGAAGUCAAGCUGCAGACUCAGGCUGAAAGGAGGAAGUUCCCUGGCAGCGUGUGGGGAUUAGUGCUGGCGGGGUGCACUACAGAGAAGGAGAGGAACAUUCAAGCUCCCACUCUCCUGUUAUGUUUAUUUCGCCAUCUUAAAUUAAACACAAAUAAUGUGUAGAAAAAAACAUUUUGAAAUUGAGAAAUAUUAAAUAGUUCUGGACCAGGGAACAGACAUCUGCAACAAACACUCCCCCUGGUUAUAUCCGUGAAGCCAGAGCCAAGAACUAUUUUCUGAAAUAAAACACAGGAGAGGUUCAAAACGUCUUUUAAUGCCUACAGGAAGCCCAUAAAACGUUCACAAAGGAAUGGAAAUAACACUGUUUGUUUUGAAAUUUUAUUAUUUUCUUUAAAAAAAAGAGAAUGCUUUGAGUGCUAUACUGUAUAUUAGUUGAACACACAAUUGUACUGAAUAAACAGUAUUUAGAUUGCUUACUAACUGAAUAAAUAACUAACUAACUAACUAACUAACUAAUAGAAUGCAUCCAUAAAUAUGAUGAUAAACUUAAUAUUUGGCAAUGUUGUUUUAAUGCAUUAAUAAGUAAGGCACCCACGAGUUCAGGAUUUUCCCUAUUGUCAUCCUGGUAUUUACUUACUCAGGCUCAUUUUCUAAAUAAAGAAUAUG